UAGAGCGGCGAACGGGUGAGUAACACGUGGGUGACCUGCCUUGGAGCGGGGGAUAACUUGGGGAAACUCGAGCUAAUACCGCAUACGUCGGCGGGGCUUCGGCUCCGUCGGGAAAGCUGGCCUCUGCUUGCAAGCUAGUGCUCCAAGAGGGGCCCGCGUCUGAUUAGCUAGUUGGUGAGGUAAUGGCUCACCAAGGCUGCGAUCAGUAGCCGGCCUGAGAGGGUGAUCGGCCACACUGGGACUGAGACACGGCCCAGACUCCUACGGGAGGCAGCAGUGGGGAAUAUUGGACAAUGGGCGAAAGCCUGAUCCAGCAACGCCGCGUGGAGGAAGAAGGCCUUCGGGUCGUAAACUCCUGUCAGGCGGGACGAAAAGGCGUCGGUAAAUAAUCGAUGUCGUUGACGGUACCGCCAGAGGAAGCCCCGGCUAACUCCGUGCCAGCAGCCGCGGUAAUACGGAGGGGGCAAGCGUUAUUCGGAAUCAUUGG
rnacentral:rRNA from 1 species